rnacentral:rRNA from 1 species
UACGAAGGGUGCUAGCGUUGUUCGGAAUUACUGGGCGUAAAGCGUGCGUAGGUUGUUAUUCAAGUUAGUGGUGAAAGCCCAGAGCUUAACUCUGGAAUUGCCAUUAAAACUGAAUAGCUAGAGAGUGUUAGAGGUGAGUGGAAUUUCUAGUGUAGGAGUGAAAUCCGUAGAUAUUAGAAGGAACAUCAAUGGCGAAGGCAGCUCACUGGGUCACAUCUGACACUGAGGCACGAAAGCGUGGGUAGCAAACAGG